rnacentral:lncRNA from 1 species
UUUAGAUGAGUUCUUCGAUUACGAGAUAGAGUAAUUGGUUUACAGAAUAUGCUAGGCCCGCGUCAAGGGCGGUACAGUCUAUAGUCUUGUGCAACAUCGUCAUCUCCUCACGCAUCUUCUCAAAGAUCUCCUUAGACUUGUGAACACGCCAAUCUCCUAACAUAGCUCCAUCGAUGAAUCAACCUAGGUGUCGAACACCUGGGCGGCAUCCUCAAGCUUGGCAAAGCGCUUGAAGACGAAGUUCUCAACGAGCCAAUCUGUCAGCCCAGCGAUGCCUCCACCUUGCUGAUGGAUGAUUCCAUGCCGC